rnacentral:rRNA from 1 species
UGGGGAAUAUUGCACAAUGGGCGAAAGCCUGAUGCAGCAACGCCGCGUGAGUGAUGAAGGUCUUCGGAUUGUAAAGCUCUGUCUUUUGGGACGAUAAUGACGGUACCAAAGGAGGAAGCCACGGCUAACUACGUGCCAGCAGCCGCGGUAAUACGUAGGUGGCGAGCGUUGUCCGGAUUUACUGGGCGUAAAGGGUGCGUAGGCGGAUGUUUAAGUGAGAUGUGAAAUACCCGGGCUUAACUUGGGUGCUGCAUUUCAAACUGGAUAUCUAGAGUGCAGGAGAGGAGAAUGGAAUUCCUAGUGUAGCGGUGAAAUGCGUAGAGAUUAGGAAGAACACCAGUGGCGAAGGCGAUUCUCUGGACUGUAACUGACGCUGAGGCGCGAAAGCGUGGGUAGCAAACAGGAUUAGAUACCCUGGUAGUCCACGCCGUAAACGAUGAGUACUAGGUGUAGGAGGUAUCGACCCCUUCUGUGCCGCAGU